CCUGUCUCGUUCCUAAAGGCAGAGAUGAUCUCCGUCACUGCCAAACUGCCCACGUCCUCCUCGUCUCUCAUUCCUCUUGACCUCGUCAUGCUCAAAGGAUGACAACCCUGUCCAAGAGCAGAGAUGAGGCAGCCAAUGGAAACCUUCUGUCAACCCGCUGUGCUCUUCCCACCACAGCGAGCCAAGGAAGAUGUCCUCUGGGGUACCAUCGGGGUCAGGGCCCCUCUGACUCAACCCCCAGAUGACCUAACAAUAGCAAGAAGAGCACAGAACACUCCAGGAGUCAGAAAGCCUGCCCAUAAAUGCAGGGAGGAACAGCAGGGCAGGAUCAGGAGACUACAGCAGAUGACAGGCCACUAUGUCCCCAAUAAACGGGCAGAAUACUACAAUGGCGGAUCCCAGAGCAGGUUCUGAAGGGCACCAAGUCUACACGAGGAAAGUCUGCACAGAAGCCUUUCCUGAGCUCCACAGACUGUGCUCUCUGUCGCUGCACUCACCCACUGCCUGCUUGCCUCCUACCCUGUGAGCACCCAGAGGAGGCAGCCAUCUUGUCUUUAUAUCCUCAGGGCCUAAGACGGUGCCUUACCCAGAGGAAGUCCCUCAACAAAAACCGAAUAAAUGACUUGAAGGAAUGAAUGCAUUUAUAAGAAUUGUUUAGGACCAGAUCUUCAAGAGAGGGUAGGAGCUCUUUAUGAGCACAGGCACAAAACCAGAGCUAGACCACCAAUGGACAUAUGAGACUGAGUUCCAAAGUCCUUGGCAAUUUGCUCCUUAAAGCCCUGCUAGCAGAAGCUGAGAUUGGUCUGAGGUUUUGAAAUGACACUGAAUUUAUAGAUGAAAUUUCCACAACCUCAAUCCUGUGUGGCAGAGGCAGAAGCCAGGCAGACUGACAAUAUUUGCAGUGGGCUGAUUCUUUCAUUCCUCCAGCUUGGCAAGGGUUGAGAAAAAUUUGGAAGUGACGGAUGGGAGGAAAGUAAAGUGGCAUCCGUUAUUGGGGGUAGAAUCAGUAUAAAGAUCAUUGACCUGAUGAAAUCUCUCCAACCUAAUUUUAUUACUUCCUCUCUCAACGUGCUCCAGCCCCUUCGGCCUUCUCUCAGUUCGUUGAAUAUGUCAAGUUCUUUCCUGCCUCAGGGCCUUUGGACAUGCUAUUUUCUCUGCCCUAAAUAUUCUUCUACCCACUUUUGAAAGAUAAACUCCUACUCCUCUGUAGGUUUUAGUUUAAAUGUUACUCUUCAGAGAAGCUUUCGUUGACCACCUUAUUACAAGUAGGUGACCCCCAUCGCAGCUUGUUUUAGUCCAUUCUGGCUGCUAUAGCAAAGCACCAUAGACUGGGUGACUUUUAAACAACAGACAUUCAUUUCUUACAACUUCUGGAGGCUGGAAAGUCCAAGACGAAGACCCUGGCAGAUUUGGCGUCUGAUGAAGGCCUGCUUCCUGGCUUACAGCCAGUUGUCUUCUGGCUGUGUCCUCACAAAGUGGAAGGGCGAGGGAGCUUGCUGGGGUCUCUUUUAUAAGGGCGCUAAUGUCAUCCACGAGGACUUCACUUCAGCAAGCAUUUGUCAAUGCUUGCAGAACCGUGUCAGCAUUCAGUAUUGUGCAUUAAAGGAUGCCAUGUGGGUCUGUUAGUCUUGUGAAUAAAUUCCUCCUAAUAAAAGAAAAUGAGAUUUCAUGAUUAAGGGGUUUAGAAAUAAUCAAGAGAGGGUUAAAAAUAAAACUAGCGGAGGCAGAACAGACCAAAGAACAGCUACUGGCAUGCCUUCCAAAAGGAUGUCCCAGAUUAUGACUUCAUAAGGAAAAAAUAAAAUAAUUGCUUGCCAAGCCAUAUAAAAAGGAUGAGUUCUGGGAGAAUGGGUUAGAAACUAAACAUUGAUAGGCCUGUAGAAGCUAGCUUCUCUCAGCAACCUAGAACUUUCCCAGAAGCCAUUUUCCUGGCCAUUCUGAGCGUUCACUAGUCUGAUUUUCCAGCAUCCUGUUGACAUGACCAUCAGUGGUCUGAUCUUCAUUAACCAAAACAGGCCUGCUAUGUUAAAAAAAAAGAAAUGCCCUAAGGAAAUAGAAAAUGAACUCUUCUGGUUUGCAAAUACUUGAUGAAGUUCCUGCUCAGGCCCCAGGCAAUUUAAACCUUAGCUGGAUUUGGAGUUUUUUUUCCCCAUGUUUGUCUCAUCCCAGCAGUCAAACCAUGUCCGUUAAGCUAGUUUUCAAAACUAAUGAGUUGUAAACAAAAUGUUCCUUCCUACAUGGAAUGCUACGAGCUUUGUCUUCAUCUUCAGACUGCUAUAAAAGGAACAUCCCUUUCAAAGUCAGAGAACCACUUUCCUCACCAUUCCUGUAUUUGGCCCACUCCCACCCAACCUGCCAGGUUCGGUCAGGCCCUGCUACCCUCACAGUCUGCUACCGCUCCAGCCCACAACGCCCAUCCCACACUCUCCUAGUUGAGCCCAUGCAGCUCAAUUUUUUUUUCUUCAAAUUGUAUAAGGUGAAGGAGGAACAAAGUGGGAGGCAGUGGAAGAAGCAGGAAAGAAGCAACACUAAAUUACCAAGCCAAGGACUAUGUUUUGCAUGUUACAUAGGCAAUCUCAUCUAAUCCUCACCACAACCCUGUAAGUAAGAAUUAUUCUUCACCUUUUCCCAGAGGUUCUCUGGACUGAGGUUCACGAGAGGCUGAGAAACUUGCCCACAGUUCAGAGCCAGGAAAACAUAAAGUCAGGAUCUGAACACAGGUCUCUGACUAUACAACUCAGGCUCUUUCCUCUACACUGCGUAUCAGUUUUAUCUUCUCUUCUACUUCACCCCCAAGCACAGAUCUAUAAGGAAUGAGACCAGGAAAAUGAAGGGUAUGAAAGCCACAGCAUGUUUCGAGAAUAAACAUCAUAUCAGGCAUCUAUUAGAGCACACGAAGCUUUGGAGAAGGGAAAAGGGGGAGCUUACAUUACAGUAGGAGAAAGAGGUAUUUAUACAGCACUGGGCAUGUGGUGGAGAUGCUCCUGACAAAGCAAAUGCAGCAUCAAGGUAUGAUACCCAGAACGAAGGAGAUAAUUAAGCCUCUGCAGACUCUCUCCUGAUCAAACCGCAUCUGUAGUGUUUGUUGCAGUUUUGGUCACCAGGGGUUGUGUGCUGUGGAAUCCACAAGAAGAGCCAGAGGAAAUUCAGCCAGGAAAAGAGAAUCCUUUAAGGAAUCAUGGUUAAAUCUUCCAAUAUCUAAAGGGCUAUCUUCUAGGAACAAGAUAUUUGCAAAAUUUCUCUGCAACUCUAGAAAACAAAACCAGAACCAAAGAAGUAAUGCUACAGGAAGCUCAUUUCUGCUUGUUGUAGGGAAGAACUCAGACAGUCCAGACCAUACAAAAAUGGAACAAUCCACCACUGGACACUGGCAGUUCCCAGUGUUGACAUGUUGACACAGCCUGGAAGACCAUUUAGCAAGAGUAUGGUAGAGGAGAUGCCUGCAUGGCUAAAGCUCCCCAAGAUCCCAUUCAACUAUGUGAUUCUACAGCUCCAAUUGCAUUUAAUAGACUUUCCUUUCAUUGCAAGGAAAUCUAUAUUAGUUUCUUAUUGCUGCCAUAAAAAUUACCACCAAUUCAAUGGCUUAAAACAACACCAAUUUAUCAUCUUGCCAUCCUGUAGGUUAGAAAGCUGACACAGGUCUCACUGGGUUAAAGUCAAGGUCUCGGCAGGGUUGCCUUCCUUUCUGCAGGCUCUAGAAGAGAAUCCAUUUCCUUGCCUUUUCCAGCUUCUUGGCUCAGGGCCUCCUUCCUGAAUCUUCAAAGCCACAGUGGCAGGCCGAGUCUCUCUCAUCACAGCACUCCAACCUCCGCACUUGCUUCUCUUCCAUUUUUAAGGACCCUCAUGAUCAUAUUGGGCCCACCUAGAUAAUCCAGGAUAGUCUCUCUAUGUUAAGGUCAGCUGGUUAGUAAUCUUAAUUCCAUUUGCAACCUUAAUUCCCCUUUGCCAUGUAACAUGACAUAAUCACGGGUCCCAGGGAUUAGAAGAUGGAUGUCUUUGGGGGAGGCAUUGUUCUGACUACUCCAGUGAGGUUCUGACAAAUUCCACCAGGUCAAGCUUGCACGUGACUCUUUGCCUUCCCUAAAGAUCACAGGGGAGAGGAAAAGGAUUUGGCAAGAAUAUACCAGGCCUCCAUGGGUUACUUGAGAGUCGGUCUCUACCUAACCCAAACCAACCAAAUAAAACGGCAGAAAGUAUUUUUCUGUUAUGUAGGUUUGACCUCUUGAGAUGGGAUACCAAAUGACCCAAGUAAACAUUGACCCCUGAACAUCCCUGGGAACCUAAGGUAACUAAGCAAGGAAGUCAACUCAAAUUAUCUGACAAGAGAGUCUCCAAUUGGUAGGGUAUGAGGCUAGUAGGAAAGGAAAAAUAAAAAGCAGCUCUGUUCUCUCUCUUUUUGUCCUCAUCAUUUGUUAGAAACUAGACGCUGCUUCCACACACCCUCCCUCACCCACAGCAGACACCGGUACUCCUUUACUCUCUCCCACAGCCUGCAACAGGCUUCAGAAAUCUUCUCCAGGCUGUGCCCCAGCAAGGCACUAGCAAUUAUCAGAGUUGGCACAUGAGAAAAAACCUAUUUGCCUUCUCCUCAGGAAAGAGUCUCUGUUCAGUGGGUUGGGGUUUAGGGUUGUUGUUACUUCUUUAGUAAUUACCAUGUACAGGGCAAUGAACUAGAAAUCUUGCAUUCAGAAGGAAAAUGCACAGUUCAUAAUCUCAGCUGCCUAACGAAUACAGCCUAGCAGCACUUAUCGCUGUUUUGUUUCUUGUUAAUAGAAUUCCUGAUCUCACAUCACGCUUGUCUGUACUUACCUGGAGUUUCAUCAUUAUACUACCUUAGGAUCUCCAGCAUCUGAAACACUGCAAACUCCUGAAUUGUCAUUUCUUUUCCACAGGCAUAUUUAUUGUGAGUGUUUUUCUAAGAGUCGUUUUGGUCACCACAGACGAUCUACCAGUCAGGAUUCUUUCCACUGUAGUUGAUAGAAAACUCUACUAGAACUAGUUGAAACAAAAAAGUGAUCUUAUUCACUAACAUCUUGAAAAGUCUAGAGAUCAGUCUGGCUUUGGUCCUUUCCCAAGCAUCAAAUGAUGUAAUGGGGACCGGCUCAUUCUCAGCACUGCUUCCCCUCCACUUCCUUGUUGACUUUAUUCUCCUGCACACUCUUGCCUUGUGGGGACAAGAUGGCUCCCAGCAGCUCCAGGCUUACCUCUCAUUUUCCCGGAAAUCCCAGUAGAAAAGAAAAUGUUUCUUCUAUAUAUGCCCCUCCAAAGGUCCUGUACUGAAUUUAAUUUUAGUGGCUUGUCAUUGACCUUGCUCAGGUUAUGUGCUCACCUGUGAACCAAUGACUAUGACAAGAGAAAUGCAAACCUCUGAUUAGCCAGCCCUCAGUGCCUGACAACUCCUGGAGCGAGGACAGCAUUCUAUGCCAUUUGAACCAUGUGAAAUUAAGGGAAGAAAUGAAUUCCCCAAGGAAAACUGAGAUUCUGUGACCAGGAGGGAAAAUGCUGGCAGAAAUAUCAGGCAAUCGCUCUACUUGGGUGACACUUUGAGUCAGAUUAUUAGCUGCUCUCUGGUCCCUUUUAGCUGAGAGUGCAACAGGGAAAAGAAUGUCAUCAUUUGAAUCGGGGUAGGUACUGAGGAGAGUGUUCAAAACUUAGACUACAGUCCAAUGGAGUGGGACUUAGAUGGGACACCACAGUACAGGGGCCAUCAGCAAUUUGCAUGACAUCUUAGGAUGUAAGUCCAGAAGAUAUUCAACAGCCACUGAAAGGGGAUCACUCACCAAAUUCACAAGCCUCAUUCAUUUUGCCUAACCCUGAAAUAACUUCUAAGGAAUGAAAACAGAAAACAAAAUAAGAGGACAAAAGGAUUUGGGAUCAGGCAACCUGGCUUUGAGCCCCACCACUUACCAGUGGUAUGGUCUUGAACCUAACACUUAACCUCUCAAAGCCUCAGUUCUAUCUUCCGUAAAAUAGCAUUAAUAAUAAUUCCUCCCUCACAGAGAAGUGUGAUCAUAUGUGUGAAGAUCGUUUCUUAAGAGACUGCAAGAAACCCUCCUAUCCACAUUGGCUGUUGCAGUGAGACUUCGCUGCUCCUCUCUUCUGUUUACCCUCCCUUUGAAUCUGGGCUGGCCCUGGGAGUUGCUUUGUCCAAUAGAUUGAGGCAAAAGUGAUGUUUGGUUUUCAAGGUUAGCCUAUAAGAGGCCUUGUAACUUCCAUUUUUGCACUUUUGGAAAACUCCCCCUUGGAAGCCAGCCACCAUGCCAUAAGGAAGCUCAAGCUGGACUAUAGAAUAAGGAGAAGGCAGAUUCAGAGAGAGCCUGGAGACUGGGAGGACAUCUUGAAUGUUCCAAGCCUAGUUGAGCUCCCAGCUGAAUGCAGCUGCACAAACAGAGCAGAAGAACACCCAGCAGAGUCAGUCAACCCACAGAAUUAUGAGAAAUAAAGCAUUGUUGUUGUAAUCCACUAAGUUUCAAGGUGGUUUAUAACACAGAAUUGGUAAGUAAGACAAUACGUAGACGGUGUUUUUGCGGUUCUUGCUGUACUUUUCCUGCAGUGUUUUUCAAGAGGAAUGUUAUUUGCACUUUAGGCAAAACAAGUCCUCAUUUGUAAGACUGCCUCCGUUUCGCAGGAUGUUCAGUAUCACUAGCCCUUACCUGCUAAAUCCCAGUAGUGCUCUCAUUGAGUAGUUCAGUCAUUGAGAAUCAAGACACCGUCCCUCAGGCCCAAACACCUGCUGCUAUGAGCCAAACCCAAGAAGAGCACUGAGUUUCUAGGAGGUGAGGACUUCAGAGGUCAGCUCCACUAAUCACGGGCAGGAACUGUGUUCUUCCUGUGUCCUGAUCCUCAUUAUGAGUUGAAACACCUUCUUUCCUAGCAUUUCAUGCUGCCUUCAAAGAAAUGAGCUGCAUGUGGCCGUAUGAAAACUAUCAAAUGGUGGAGGGAGACUGAAGUCUUAAGUCUAUCUUAACCUGAAGCCAAGCUCCCUCGACACUGCCCACACUGCCUCCUGAUUUUCCCCUGAGUUUUCAUCUGAAUCAUGCACAUGAUAAGUAAAUAUGCUUCAUGGCCAAAUCGGGGUGGGACUGCUGUUGUGUUUUGUUUUGAGGGAUGUACUAAUGGUCUUAGCUUCCACCAAGUUCAUUUCUGUAUGUCUUGAUCAUGAAAUAUGCUAUAUUUGAAUUAAAAUAGAAAGGGGAAAAGGAGUCGCCAUCAGAGAAAUCGAAAGAAAUUUGAAGCAAACAGGAAGAAAGAAGCAAAGAAUAAAGUGAAGAUUGGUGCAGAAGAGAUAAAACAUGUAAAAGGCGGAAAGAAGAGAGAUGAAAUGGAAAGUUCUAGAGGAAGCAAGUAUAUACAAAGACGAUCUAGGGACUUUCUCCCAUUGGUGGCAGACAGGGUAAUUUGGGCUAACUCUCUUGCUGAAAGAAACUAAAAUAUCUGGGCAAAAUAUAAAAAUCAUGUUUUUAAAAAUAUUGAAAAGCUAAAAAGAGAGCAUGGAAUUACUAGGUCAAGAUCUACAAGAAAAUAGAAACCCAAACAGACGAGUCUGGCAUUUUGCCAAGAGCAUGUGGCCAAUCUGGAAGAGGCAGCUGAGCGAUUGAGCAGUGUUUUUGAUGUCUUCCUAGUGCCAGAGGGAAAACAUGUGCAGUACCUCUGACAGGGAAAUUUAUAAAUCUUCACUGAGAGACAGUAGGGAAGACUUAAAUAAAUGGAGAGAUACCCCAUAUUCGUGGAUUGGAAGAUUCAGUAUUGUAUCGUUGCCUCAACACACAAAUAAAGCUAAGGAACAGAACAGAGGGACUAGACAAGGGCUCGUUCAUAAAUGGCACUUGGUGUACUAUAGAUGUGGCACUCAUUGGCAUGGAAAAGGAUGGUUGACACAACUGGGCAUCCAUAUGAGGAAAAUGAAACUUGACUUCCAACCUCACAGUCUAUCACUAUCUGCGCCCUACACAACACACAUUAGAGAAGCUCUUGCAUUUAUAGAUUUGGACACCUAACACAAGAAUAUUUGUAGAAACACUGUGAAUAAGAGUAAAAUUUUAAAAAAAUUGAAACAACA
rnacentral:lncRNA from 1 species